rnacentral:rRNA from 1 species
UACAGAGGUCCCGAGCGUUGUUCGGAUUCACUGGGCGUAAAGGGUGCGUAGGUGGUUAGGUAAGUCCGAUGUGAAAUCUCCAGGCUCAACCUGGAAAUGGCAUUGGAUACUAUUUAGCUUGAGGAGUGGAGGGGGGACUGGAAUUCUCGGUGUAGCAGUGAAAUGCGUAGAUAUCGAGAGGAACACCAGUGGCGAAGGCAGGUCUCUGGGCCACUACUGACGCUGAGAAGCGAAAGCAUGGGGAGCGAACAGG